rnacentral:lncRNA from 1 species
CAGCAAUGUCCUACUUCCUAAGAUUUUAACAUCACUUCGAGUUAAGGAGGGGAAGUUGAUUUCCAGCUCUUCGGCAGAGGGAUGUGCUGAUGGCUGCCAAUCCGAAGGGUGCUGUACCAUCUGACGAUGCCACCUUCUCAACACGGGAGCUGUUCUCUUUCCUGGCUGUUGCUGCGGCCAGGGAAGAGAGCACAGGAAAUGUGCACCAACUCUGAAACGCUUCUGCCCGGAGGGGACACUCGUGACUUCUGCUCACAUGUCAUUGGCCAGAGGAUGUCACAUGGACAUACCUAACUUCAAGCGGGACAGAGAAGUGUAAUUCUUCCCUGGGAUGGGAAAGGAAAUAUGGGAAUGAUGUGAACCCCACUAAUCUCUAUCCCAUUGUAAUCCCUACAACAAACUUGCCAUGUGGUUAUUAUCCUGAUUUGAUACACGAAGAAACUGAGGAUAAGCAACUCCUCCACACUCACACAGCUGGCAAGAGGGAGAGGUGGGAUUUAACCUUGGGAAAGUCUGACUGCCAAGCUUUUGCUAUUUCCUUGGUGUCGCCCUUUUCAUGUUCACAAAAUGGCUGUAUCAUAAGGCAGAAAAACUGCAGCUUAUCAGUCAAAGAAGGAUGGAUAGCGUGUUGUGUAGUUUUAGAGGAGGAGAGAUCACCUCCUGUUAGAGAAAUCCGGGAAGACUUCACUGAGGUGGUAGCUCUUGCCUCUGGAUCUUGAAGAAUAGGACAGAUUUGGACAUUCAGAGAUGCCAGUUCUUUCAAUCUGUCAGUUAUUCCUUCUGUGUGCAAGGUGGGUGGCUUCUGACGUCUGGAAAACCAUUUGUAAAGUCCAUUUAGUUCACGCUUUUAGUUUAGUCACACUCUUCCCUCACAAGAGAAGUCCUAGCGUGAUGGUGAGAGGGAGGGGAAGUAGUUAUGAACCGGGUUUCACCAAAGGAGCUUUCCUGGAAGAGGCCCUGGGGAGAAAUCUGAUGCAGUGGGUCGAAUAAGAACGGGGUUUUCCUGCAGCUGUAUUGCAGCCUUCAUUCCUUUCUCCCUCCCUUCCUCUCCUCUUUCUUCUCCUUUCCCUUCCAUUCCUGCGUCCCUCUCUCCGUCAUUUCCUUAGUGCCUGCUGUCUGCCUGGGACAAUGCUGAGUGCUGGGGCAGGGGAGGAGGCACACCCAGAUUUUGGCUCCCUGGAACUCUCACACAGUUUAACGAUGGGAGGGAUAAGGUUGCAGGGCCCCAGAGCCCCAGUGUUUGCCUAGAAACUCAAGAAGAAACCUCCAGUGAGAGGCAGAGUGACCCAUUGAGGGGUGUGGGUCACUUGAGGAAAAAAAAAAAAAGAAAAGAAGCCAGCCACACAGAGAACAGAGUCCCCACUGCCCUGUGGUCAGUGAGCACUGCUCCCUAGCUUGGGCCGGACAGCUGGCCCCUCUGGGCUCACUCAGGCCGACUGCACCUGGCCUUGCUCACAGCUGUGCUCCUCUGAGCUGGCCCACACCAGCCAGCAACCAGUUCUUGUCAAUGCAGCUAGAGCAGACUGUGGCUGCCUCCCUGAUUCUCCUCCACCUCUUCUCCCCAACCCAGGGAGAACUUGCAGUCUGGGGACAGAAUCUGUACAUCAGGGAUGGUUUUGACAAACUAAGGAGGGAGAGGAGCUGGAAGACAUCCUUGCACCCAUGCUGAGGCUUGGCUGUACACGUUUCCCUUCCAGGAUUCACAGGCUGCCAGCAAAGGGCUUAAGAUUUCAGCUCUGCGGAAACUAUGAUCAAGUGCCUUUUUGGGGUCCAGGGAUGAAUGCACCCCUAUUUAACUGUGUCUGUGUAUCUUCUACCUUUAGAUCCAUUUUCCUAUUCACAGGACCAGAGUAUUUCAGCGCUAGGAGUGAUCUCACAGGGUUUUUAGGCCAGUGGUUGCUAAACCUGAUUGUCCUCCAGGAAGCCUUUAAAAAUACACAUUCCUAGGCUCUGAGCCCAGAAGUUCUGACUCCGUAGGUCUGGCCCUUGUC